CGCCGACGUCACCGCAGCCUGCGACCAAUCAGCGGCUCGCGGUCCCUCUGUAAACCAUUCUGCAUCCCCCGGCCGGGGAGAGUGCCGGGAGACCGCGUUUAGAGGAUCAGUGGCGGCCGCAUCCGCCGCCCGGCGCGGUGCGGGCGGCGGGCAGCGAGGUGCCCGAGCCCCUCCUGCUCCGGUAAGGCCUCGGUUUCGAUGGGAAGGACUGAGAGCGCGCGGCAGUAAGGCGCAGGCGGAGGGAAGAGUACUGUUGGAAGGUGGGAUUAAUCCAAGGUGGAGCCUUGUUGAAGGUUCGGGUGCAGCUGGGUCCGGGAGCCCUUGCGAACUGUUUGACUUUGCAAUUCAGCGGGUGUUGGUUUUUGUUUUUGUUUUUGUUUUCCCUUCUUCGUGCUUUCUUGGCCUAGAAGUUUGUCCCGAGCACAGCGCGCAUUUUAGCGGGAGUGGGGGAGGGAGAGCCACAGGAUCUUCCUCCUCUGGUUCCUCAGUUCCUCCUCCCCCAGUCCAUCCAAAGUCCACAGGGUAUCAGUCUCCCAGAGACCUGGGUGUCUGUUCCCGCAGCGCGGUCUUGGAAAGUUGAUUCCGGCGCUUUCCUGAUGGGGGCGGGGGAGACCGGAGGCGCGGCACCGGGGAGGGGGAAAGGAGGGGGUGGGGAAGCGCCACGGGUGAGGAGUUGCAACCCCGGCGAGAAGUUGUGAGAAAACUGUGAUCCGGAGACACCUUUUACAUACAAAAACAAACGACUAGGCGGGAAACCGCAGGGCAUCAGUGGCGGCUGGCGGGUGGUGGUAGUGGCCGUUGGGAGCAGGGACGUCUGGGGCCCCACAGAAAGGCUGCAGUGGAUUCGGGUGUGCAGCGUACGGGCUGAGUGGGCUCGGCUUCUCCUCCUCCCCUGUUCCAGGUUCCGGGCUAUCAACACCAUCCGGACACAAACCGCAGACCAUACCCCCUUGUAGUUCUCUCCUCAGGGAGCUCUUACCUCCCUAAUCCCAAAUACAACGUCGGGACCACUGCCUGGAGGCAGAUUAUUCCAAAGGCGGCGUUCAGGUCCGGGUCCUGAGAACCUCGUCUCCAAGAGUUACUCUGGUUUCCUGGAUUAAAGCCAGUCAAAUACCGAAUUCCGUUUUGAUAGCACCAUUUCUGUGCUAAACCGGGAUUUCUCUUGAGGUCUGAAGGUGGCAAGGCGGGCAGUCUUGUUUUGUUCUUAUUCUUUUUUUUUCUUUGGUUGGGGGCGGGGAGUGUGUGCUAAGAAGGCGAAUUCAACCUUAGUGUGGAAGAAAAUAAGGUUGGGUGGCUAGCCAGGUCUAGCUGGUAUUUUGGAAUUGGCCUUCCGAUCCCACUCAUGGUGCGACACUCAGACAUCCCACACAAGAGCCCGCGACUAAAUUGGGGAAAACGCGCGCUGAAACGUAAUUGCGAUGAACUUGAGCCGGCGGGGGAUCCAGCUCUCGGCAAACGGAAUACCCUCUUCGGACGAACCGGGAAGCCGAUACAGAAAAUUUGGUUUACGCUCAACGGAAGUGGAGUUUUAGGGCUCUGCCAACGCCCCUUUACUGCCUUCAAGCUUCUGCCCGAACCACCCUGCAACCCCGAGUUCGCCAGCAUCUUCCACCUUGCCUCCCACAUCACCUUUUCAUUGGAAGCCAAAGCCGAGGUCCCGCGUGCGCUUCUUUGGUGCUCCGCCCAUCCUGACCUCUGGGUGCGGGGCCUCUAACAUCUUCUCUGCACCCUCUCCAAAAACACCUGGGCUGAGGGUCCCCGCUGCGGGGCGGGCGGAGUGUUGAGACUAGUUAUCUCUCUCUCUCUCUCUCUCAUCAGCCCCCUCCAUGGGCCUCUCUGAGGGCUCCGCUCAGGUCAGGAGUAAGAUGGGGAGGAUGGUUCUCCAACCCAGCAGCCGACUUCGCGAGAUCCGACUAGGUUUUUGUGCUCCUCCUGCUGACCGGAAGCUCUGAGGAGCGAGCCGAUCCCUAGCCAGUACUCCAGCUCCCGCGGAGGCGCUAGGAGCUGCUUGGCUCGGGGACCCCCUCCCCUCCUCCCGGAGCCCGAGGUGCUUCCCGAGCCCCCUGCGCUGGGUGAGACCCGCGCGGAGGGGCUGGUCCAGUCAAGUGGUCCCCAUGCUCCCCCCCCCCCCGCCCCCAGCUGUCCUGGUUCUCGCCGCUAGCGCCCUCGACCCAACCGCCCCUUUCUGGAAUCUAAAGCCGUCGGAGUCCCGAGUGGCUCAACCCCCGCCCCCGUCCCAGCUGGGCUCCUUCUCAUGCAAAGCAGAGGGGCCGCGGGGGUGGAGGGCAGUUGUCGGGGACCUACCGGGCGACAGCUGGACCCGGCUGCCGGCCCUUCCUGAACCCAAGGCCCGCUGCCUUCUUUCCGGUGGACAGGAGGGGGCUACUUCACCCGUUUGGGGGUGCUGUGAUCUUGGGACCUCGACAUGGUGGAAAGAGGACCCCUCCCUGCGGGCAGACCCACGCGGUAGGGGAAUUGAGGACGAGAACGGGACGCCGGCUCUGGGGCAUCAGGCUCUGCUUGCCCUGUGUCCUGAUGGUUCAGUAAACCCGUCUGCGGGGACCAACCCCAGCGUCUACCAGGGAGUCCUGGAGCGCAGCUCUAGGCACGCCUCUUGGCUCGAUUAUAGGUUUCAAGUCCAGAUUUAACGCCUCCACUGCGACAGCACACUCUAUUAAUGUUUUUUUUUCCCCCGUUUCCAUUGAGUUUUUAUUUUAAAAUGUAUUUGGUUGCACAGUCGUGGAGAGAAAACUGACGCCGCUUUCCAAAUUAGCCACCUCUUCAGCUCCUUCAGCUCUCAGCUCUGCCUUUAAACCAAUGGCUUCUGGGCAAAGAGCUCCAACCUUCCCUUCUCAUCCUCAGUGCCACACUUAACUGCCAGAAGUACACCGAGCUUUCCUAUGGAAGGACCUCCAAGCAGCACAGACCCACAACCACACACACUUCCCCUAGGGCGAGUAAGCUCUAGGCGGGAUGUUGUGAAGAUCAAUUUCCCAGCAGAGUCUGCACUCUGUGGCCACGGAAUCCUCUCCGCCUCACGCCCAGGCUCUCUUGGAAAAGGCCCCAGAGGGGCCAGGAAAUGUCUUUCACAAUAGGAAAUUUCCUUUCUAAGAAUCGCCCUAAGGGUCCUGAGAGGCAGCACCCUGCUGGUGAACUGGGGGCAGAAGGGUUCUGCUAGCCCUCCCCAGAUGCCCUGCUGUUGGGGGGAGGGGAUUGAUGGCGCCCUCUCCUGCAUCCGAUUUCCUCCCGAGACCUCCGUAGUUCCCGGCCCCAGAUCGCCUUGCUCCCUCAUGUUGCCCAGUGGCUCUCGUGGCCCAAGGACCAGAGCUGGCCUGGCACCUUCAGCUGCUGUAGAUGCGAGAGCGGCAACCGCCAGUGGCGGCUCCUCUGCUUGCCCAGUGGGUUCCUAUGCAGCCCGCCACCCCGAGAAAAGCACGGUGAGGCCGUGGAAGAAGUCGCUUGCGACAGAGCAGACUCUAGGCGGUUAACAACGCGGGGCUUCAGGCAGCGGGGGCUGCCAGCCUCGUGGGUGCAGGGAGAGGGAGGAGGGAGCGAGCAGGUCUUCUCGAGGGGUCCGAUAGGCCACACAAACUCCCCACAGACUCCGUAGACUGAUGCAGCAGAUGCGACACAGUAAACUUUGGUCCUGGGCCCUUGGAUCUGAUCCUGCAUCUUUCUCUCUCCUUUCCCUCUUGCUUUUGCUCCUGAUUCAGGUUGCCAUAUUCUCACUCCAUCACUCACUCCUGGAAAUGACCUACUUGUGUGCACCACUUUACAGCUAAUAUCACUGUCUCCCCGGAAUCACACUGCGGGGGUGGGGGUCGGUCUUACCCCCUUUUUCCCCCUGGGAAAGAAACCCAAGUUAGGGGGGUUGACCUGAGAUCCCUGGGCCAGUGCAAUGUGGAAAGUGAGAAAUUUGGGGUGGGGGCUUGUCACCUUGCACCGCUGUGUACUUUGCCCCAGCAGUAGUUUCCAAGUUGGGGAUGGGAGGGGGUGGGAGACUUCGGGGCCGCGAAAGGGCAGCAUCCGGCUGGGGCUUCACGGUGUGCACAGCGUCUGGGUAAACAAGGCUGGCUUCCCACGGGGACUGGGGGCGGGGGUGGACCCUGAGCUUGGAAAGGGAGGAAGGUCAAGCGUGGCGGUCUCAGAUGAAAGGCAGUGCCGCAGCCCCGCAGAGCAGGGAACGGUGUGGGUAGACGCAGAAAGGAGAGGGUGAAUGGAAGAGGCAGGAGAGACAGAGAGAGAGGGAAGUAAGGGGAGAGGGACAGGGAAAGGGAAUAAGGAUAGAAAAACAGUGGGGAAAAAAGGAAUGCCGAAAAGUAAGCAGGGCUGAAAGGAGGGAAGACGCAUUGGGGAAAAUGCGUGGAGGAGUAGAGGAGGAGAAACAGAAGAGCCCCAGAAAGACACCCAGCAAUGUAAGAGCCGGCGGGGAGACACGCACAACCGGGCACCCUGCGGGCGCUGGGGGGACAUCUGGCGGGACUGGAAGGUGCGCGCGCGUGUGUGACAGUUGCAUUUGUAGGCGGGAGAAAAGGAGACGGCGUGUUUGGUGGGCGACUCAGCGCCCGUGGAAAAGCGUGUGAGCGGCUCUGGGCAGGAAUCCAACAAAUAAAUAAAACGUCUAAGACGGCGUGACAACAAUGUGUAUUUGGGUGCGUGCCCGUGUUCCUCCGUCUGAACACAAACUCACACCCGGUAAGGAAGACAAACGGGGCUCAUGCCUCAGAGUAAUUAAUCCACUCACUAAUUGACUCUCUCCCCUUACCUAAUGGUAGUGGUCACUGCAGAUAUCUGGAGAGAUAGCAAAGAUGUGGGGGAAAGACCCCCAAAACUAACCAUGUUUGGGACUGAGAUUUGAAUUUUUUGUGGACUUGGCAGUUCUAAGCCCCCCUCCCCUUUUGAGGGGGGCAGGAUUCAAUAGAUAUUGCUGCCUCACCAGCCUCUCCAUGUUUGUAUUCAUUAAGAUCUCCUGAUCUUGCAGAUGACCAGGAACUGUCCACGUACACACGGAAGUCUUUCAUCAAUCUCAGAGACUAGAAGCCACCCACUGCCCCUCUGUUGGAUGUGUCCCACCUUCGGACAACAGCAAAGUUCCCCCUUCCCCGCUGUUUCCCCAGGAGCCCAGCCCCUGCACCCCUUCCUCUCAGUCAUGACUUAGUCUUCCCGGGGCCGGGAUGUGUUCUGCAGCCCCUAAUAGAGCAGGUGAAGUUUCAAAUGGGCUGGGAAGCUGCCUUGGGUAGGUAGGAGGGAAAGCUUCAGAAGGGAUGAGGCCACGGCAAGGAUGGGAAGAAGCUUCUAGAAACAAACCCACUCAUGCACAGGUGGAGAGAUACAGAAGCACAGAAAAGAGCAGUGCACCUGGCAAGAGUGAGGCCUCCGGGGACAGAGGAGGGAAAAAAAAAAAAGUAGAGAGCAUGCAAUGUCAAGUGUGUGAGAGGGCAGACAGAUGACCCGUCUCAGUGACCUUGAGGGGGACAGUUCUGUGUGUUGUCAUGGGGAUGGAACCCUCCUACUUUCUCCCACAGCACCCUCAGUUCUCAGCACUGGAGAAAGAGGCAGGGAAGAGGGCGUUGGUCUUGGAUCAACUCCCUGGUAGCUGAGCUGGCCAGAAAGGGCCCAAGGCCCACAGUUGGUUUGCUGAUGCAGCUUCGAGGCUUGGGUUUGGGAGGUGAAUGUCAACUGUCACCCCUUUGAGGUGGCAGCUCUGCUCUGUUGCCCUCCACCGAGGCUAAAUAAAUAAUUGCUGAGAUCCAUAAACCACUUAGCCUAGGGAGAAGAAGGAGAAGGGAAAGGAAGCUCCCCAGGAAAAAAAAAAAAAGAAAAUCCACUUCCCUCCCCCACUAAACACAUUCUUAAUUGUCCCUUGGGAACAUUUGUACAUUUGACCAAAGCAAAUCCCCAAGCAGUAACAGCAAAAUUCGUCAUAGGGGCUGGCAGUCCUGAGAGAGCUAGGGGUCUGGGAAGGGGGAAGGCGGGGAGACAUGGCGGGCAUGUCUGAGAAGGUGAGAAACUUGGCUCUUCUCUCCCUGUCUCUGUCAGGCCGUAGAGAGAAAGUGAACAAGAGGAAUAAAGUUCCAGAGUAAAGAAAGAGAAGGACACAUAAAAGGCAAAUCCAAACUAGAAAGGAAAGAAAGUGAAGAAGAAAGAAAAAGGUGGGGAGAGAUGGGGCCGCGGGAGACGUGCUAAUAAAAAAGGGUGAAGGCGGCCCCAGGAGGCUGGGCCUCGUCCCAAACCAUCGGUCUUCAUUGUCUCCGUGUGUGCAAAGGCAACUCCGGCAUAAGGAAAAGCCACUAUUGAAGCCGCGGCUUUAUUUUAUAUCCUAUACAUCAGGAGGGAGGCAAAGCUUUAUUUUCGCCAAGAGACAGAUAUUUUAUUUCUCUCUUACGGUUUUAUGUGUGAGAGAUGUCAGGUUACCACAAUGGAUGGCUAAUGCAUAGGCAAGAGGAGGCCGUGUUGGCAUGCUGUGUGUCAUGGGGUCUUGGGGGGGUGAGCGGGCCUGGGAUUUAGGGCUGAUGGGACACUCUGGGGGAUUUCUGCUAAAACAUCUCUCUUCAUAAAUCCAGAAGCAUGGUCAGCUCAACAGGGAGAAGAAGGAGUUUUAGAGGGAAAAGAGUUGGGCUUAGAAAUAAAUGAACACACAAAGGAGCCGCUUCCCUUCCGACAGGCUGGGGCACCGGGGGGCAAGGUGGCCUGGUGGAAAAGCAGAGACCCACAUCCAAACACACGUGCACCUUGGCGAGGAAGUGUUUUCCUACAGAACCCACUGUCAUUGUGCUUCCUUUCCCCGUUUUAUAUUUUUCUACCCUUUUCUUCCCUCUCUUCACCAGAAAUCUUUUUUUUUUUCCCCAUCUCCUUAGAGCCUUGGGGGGAAAGAGCUAUUAAUUUGCAAAUCAUCUGAUCUGUGAAAGGAUCAAGAUGCCUGUUUUUCACUGCUAAAUCCAAUGUCUUGGGUGGACACACAUAUGCACACGCGAGCCCGUCAUGCUGAGAAUCCUGGGAGUGGAGGUGCCAGAUUGGAGUCCGAGAAACAUGCCCCACUCCCCGCUUCCCCCUGGGACCUAUGGCUGAAUUAAGCCUUAGAUCCCAAACUGCACAGUGUUCAUAUUUUUGAACCCAGAGAGAAGGGGGAGAUGAGGGGACAAAGAGAGAAAGGGAAGUGUGUUAAUGGAUGUGUGCCAUUCAGGACUUGGACUAGUCUCCCUACUCCCAGCCCCCCAAACCCUUUCUUCCAAGAGUUCCAAGAGCUCUAUUCAUUCUCAGGUCCUCCUCUUCUAAGGUUGUGAUUUCUUGGUCUGUAACCACUGUGGACCAAAGAGGUGAUUAUGCUCUUUUCCUCUUUUCAGGGGAGGAGAGGCAGCACUGGACCUCUAGACAAUGAACACGGUGUGGGGGGGGGGGGGGUACCGACCACACAUUGUCCAUAGCUGGGGCCUCUGGGGAAGUCAUUUAACCUUCCAGGGCCUCAGUUUCCUCAUCCGCCUUGGGCUAAGCGAUUGUUAAGGUCCCUUCCAGCUCCAACCGAAUGAGAUAAUGUGUGAAAACAUUUUGUAAACGCUAAAGCCAGACGAAUGCCAGGGAUUAUUAUUACGAUUCUAAUCAAUCCUCCUUUCUCCACAUGGAUCUUGGCUGUUUAGCACCAGCAAGCAGGCUAAAGAGGGCUGAAAGCGAGAGAGCUUAGCGGAGAUGGAAAAGCUCUGUGGUGUGGACAGAAAAAAAAAAAAAAAAAAAAAAAAAAAAACCUGCAUCUCCAGAAACAUUCUGUGUCUGUGUCUCCCGGGGUGCCUGGUGGGAGGGGUGGGGAAGAAGAGGAGGCCUGACUCAGUAUGACCCACAGCAGUCUACGUGGAGGCUGAGAGUGUAUUUUUUUCUCAGGCAUCAUUUGUCUCCAAGUGACUGACACAAGAACCUGAUGUGAAGGCGAUCUGCGAUUGUUUUUUUUUUUUUUUUUUCCAGCAAGAAAGGAAAGAGCAAGGUGUAGCUGAUUAGCAAGUUAAUUAUUUCAGUAUCCCAAGGGUUCCGGUGUGGUGGUAAGUUGCCCAGCCCUGGUGUAAUUUCACAGUCCGUGCAUUUCCUAGUGAGCACCUGGGGCGCCCGGGUCUGUCUCUCUCUCCAACCACCAGCCUCCUGUCUUCUUGACACACCUGGGGAGAUGGGCAGGGCUGAAGAGGAAGAUGGUACAGUGCACACGUUUGGCCUGGGCCGCACGUGGGGGGCCAGCAAGAGAACACAGCGGAGGAAUCCUCUACCGCCACUGGGUGUUUAAUUAUCUGGCCUUUCCUUUUUUUUUUUUUUUUUUUAAAUCUUUUGUUUAAUAAAUAUUAAUGAAGCAGAUUAUCAGAAAGUGGAGGAGCUAUGAGGUUAUUUUCUCCACACUCAGCGCGCAGAGCCACCAGGCACAAGGGGGGCCCUUUUGCCUCUCCCUCCUCCGAGCCCUUGCCAAUCUCUCCAGCAGUCAGGUUUGCUUUCUUAACUCUGCCCACCACUUGGUUUGCGAAGGCCUCCUCUAGUCUGACUUCAAGAUCUGAUUUCCCCUUGCGGGAGAGGAUUGUGUGGUCAAAUGGACGAUUCCCUCUGAGAGAUAAGUUGGGGAUAUGAGCAUGAGCCCCAGAACCAGCAGCUUCGGCCACUCUCUGCUCUCCAGGGCUGGAAGGGCCAGCCCCCUGCCGCUCCUCCUGAGGUGGACGGAGGGAGGGCUCUGCCGUUUACUUAAGACUGGUCCCAUCUGCUCAGACUGGCCUUUCAUAAGGGGAGGGAUUUAUGCAGUGUCCUUGUGCACAGACCUGGGAUUUGCCCGAAAACCUCGGGCCUCCGAGAAUAUUGUUGAACGCUAAAAUGUUCAGCCACGGAGAUGAUUUAUGAUUUGUCUGCAUGGACAGGGUGUGUGUGUGUGUGUGUGUGUGUGUGUGUGUGUGUCUUUGUUGGGGAGAGGCACAAACAUUGAUGGGUGCUUUUCACCAUUCCUACUUCUAAAUCCAAACAUUAGGAAACUUCUUUUUCUGUAUUUAACUCAGGAAGCAGCCCACGACAUCAGGCUCUGGAGAGCCAACUUCCUGACUUCAGUGAUGUGAAUGAAGAUGGUCUAAUACGUUUUUGGUGCCGGCAAGCAGCUGUCCCCCAAGCAGGAACCUGGGGGCAAGAGCCUUCCUGGGAGCAGAUGUGUGACCCUCCAAAGAUGGGAAGAAGCAAGGGGCUCCCCAUGGGGCAGCUGGAAAGGAACCUGCUUGUGGGUACUUUUUGCAAUUGGGGACGCAGGGGAAUUUCUCCAGAGUCUGUGGUGCCCGGAGGACAUGGCCGGGGCACCCCACAACUCGCCACAGCCCUUCAUCCAGUGUACAGGACCUCAGGGAGCCCUCAGUGAAUCCUGCCAACUGAAUCCAGGAGAAAAGCGGAGACGUCACCCUUCGCAUUAAUACCAGCUCCCAAUCUGGGGCGCGGCUUUGAAAGAAGGUUGCUAAGCCUGCUAAAUCCUAGUGCACACCAACACCCCAUUCAUCUGGAAACCUGGUAUGUUCUGCCUAAAAGUCUGGCUGUCAGUUUCACCUCCUGCCUGGCUACCCACCACCCUGGCAUUUUACACUCAAGACUUUUACAUCUGCUUUGGGCGUCUGAAGACAGGAAGGUCUUUCAAGACUCAAAAACUUGAUACAUACUAUUCCCUUUGUUUGGAACACCUUUCUCUCUCUCCCAACUCUGCCUUAUCAUCAGCCUGGAAAUUUUCUUUCUUUCUUUCUUUU